GAGUGGCGAACUGGUGAGUAACACGUGGGAAACCUGCCCAGAAGCGGGGGAUAACACCUGGAAACAGAUGCUAAUACCGCAUAACAACUUGGACCGCAUGGUCCGAGUUUGAAAGAUGGCUUCGGCUAUCACUUUUGGAUGGUCCCGCGGCGUAUUAGCUAGAUGGUGGGGUAACGGCUCACCAUGGCAAUGAUACGUAGCCGACCUGAGAGGGUAAUCGGCCACAUUGGGACUGAGACACGGCCCAAACUCCUACGGGAGGCAGCAGUAGGGAAUCUUCCACAAUGGACGAAAGUCUGAUGGAGCAACGCCGCGUGAGUGAAGAAGGGUUUCGGCUCGUAAAACUCUGUUGUUAAAGAAGAACAUAUCUGAGAGUAACUGUUCAGGUAUUGACGGUAUUUAACCAGAAAGCCACGGCUAACUACGUGCCAGCAGCCGCGGUAAUACGUAGGUGGCAAGCGUUGUCCGGAUUUAUUGGGCGUAAAGCGAGCGCAGGCGGUUUUUUAAGUCUGAUGUGAAAGCCUUCGGCUCAACCGAAGAAGUGCAUCGGAAACUGGGAAACUUGAGUGCAGAAGAGGACAGUGGAACUCCAUGUGUAGCGGUGAAAUGCGUAGAUAUAUGGAAGAACACCAGUGGCGAAGGCGGCUGUCUGGUCUGUAACUGACGCUGAGGCUCGAAAGUAUGGGUAGCAAACAGGAUUAGAUACCCUGGUAGUCCAUACCGUAAACGAUGAAUGCUAAGUGUUGGAGGGUUUCCGCCCUUCAGUGCUGCAGCUAACGCAUUAAGCAUUCCGCCUGGGGAGUACGGCCGCAAGGCUGAAACUCAAAGGAAUUGACGGGGGCCCGCACAAGCGGUGGAGCAUGUGGUUUAAUUCGAAGCUACGCGAAGAACCUUACCAGGUCUUGACAUACUAUGCAAAUCUAAGAGAUUAGACGUUCCCUUCGGGGACAUGGAUACAGGUGGUGCAUGGUUGUCGUCAGCUCGUGUCGUGAGAUGUUGGGUUAAGUCCCGCAACGAGCGCAACCCUUAUUAUCAGUUGCCAGCAUUAAGUUGGGCACUCUGGUGAGACUGCCGGUGACAAACCGGAGGAAGGUGGGGAUGACGUCAAAUCAUCAUGCCCCUUAUGACCUGGGCUACACACGUGCUACAAUGGAUGGUACAACGAGUUGCGAACUCGCGAGAGUAAGCUAAUCUCUUAAAGCCAUUCUCAGUUCGGAUUGUAGGCUGCAACUCGCCUACAUGAAGUCGGAAUCGCUAGUAAUCGCGGAUCAGCAUGCCGCGGUGAAUACGUUCCCGGGCCUUGUACACACCGCCCGUCACACCAUGAGAGUUUGUAACACCCAAA
rnacentral:rRNA from 1 species